GAUGAACGCUGGCGGCGUGCCUAAUACAUGCAAGUCGAGCGAACGGACGAGAAGCUUGCUUCUCUGAUGUUAGCGGCGGACGGGUGAGUAACACGUGGAUAACCUACCUAUAAGACUGGGAUAACUUCGGGAAACCGGAGCUAAUACCGGAUAAUAUUUUGAACCGCAUGGUUCAAAAGUGAAAGACGGUCUUGCUGUCACUUAUAGAUGGAUCCGCGCUGCAUUAGCUAGUUGGUAAGGUAACGGCUUACCAAGGCAACGGUGCAUAGCCGACCUGAGAGGGUGAUCGGCCACACUGGAACUGAGACACGGUCCAGACUCCUACGGGAGGCGGCAGUAGGGAAUCUUCCGCAAUGGGCGAAAGCCUGAUGGAGCAACGCCGCGUGAGUGAUGAAGGUCUUCGGAUCGUAAAACUCUGUUAUUAGGGAAGAACAUAUGUGUAAGUAACUGUGCACAUCUUGACGGUACCUAAUCAGAAAGCCACGGCUAACUACGUGCCAGCAGCCGCGGUAAUACGUAGGUGGCAAGCGUUAUCCGGAAUUAUUGGGCGUAAAGCGCGCGUAGGCGGUUUUUUAAGUCUGAUGUGAAAGCCCACGGCUCAACCGUGGAGGGUCAUUGGAAACUGGAAAACUUGAGUGCAGAAGAGGAAAGUGGAAUUCCAUGUGUAGCGGUGAAAUGCGCAGAGAUAUGGAGGAACACCAGUGGCGAAGGCGACUUUCUGGUCUGUAACUGACGCUGAUGUGCGAAAGCGUGGGGAUCAAACAGGAUUAGAUACCCUGGUAGUCCACGCCGUAAACGAUGAGUGCUAAGUGUUAGGGGGUUUCCGCCCCUUAGUGCUGCAGCUAACGCAUUAAGCACUCCGCCUGGGGAGUACGACCGCAAGGUUGAAACUCAAAGGAAUUGACGGGGACCCGCACAAGCGGUGGAGCAUGUGGUUUAAUUCGAAGCAACGCGAAGAACCUUACCAAAUCUUGACAUCCUUUGACAACUCUAGAGAUAGAGCUUUCCCCUUCGGGGGACAAAGUGACAGGUGGUGCAUGGUUGUCGUCAGCUCGUGUCGUGAGAUGUUGGGUUAAGUCCCGCAACGAGCGCAACCCUUAAGCUUAGUUGCCAUCAUUAAGUUGGGCACUCUAAGUUGACUGCCGGUGACAAACCGGAGGAAGGUGGGGAUGACGUCAAAUCAUCAUGCCCCUUAUGAUUUGGGCUACACACGUGCUACAAUGGACAAUACAAAGGGCAGCGAAACCGUGAGGUCAAGCAAAUCCCAUAAAGUUGUUCUCAGUUCGGAUUGUAGUCUGCAACUCGACUACAUGAAGCUGGAAUCGCUAGUAAUCGUAGAUCAGCAUGCUACGGUGAAUACGUUCCCGGGUCU
rnacentral:rRNA from 1 species